GAUGUGGUACAGAUUAGAUACUAAAAAGACACCAAUCCUAACCGAAAUUAUAGUAUAUUAAUUCGAUGAAGAAAAUUCGGAAAAUAAAAAAGAAACAAGUGCCACACCAUGACCGGUCGAUAAACGGACAUCCUGAAAAAUACAACUUGACGAACAAUGGAUCAAUCAAAGAGCCGUUCGGUUCGCUCUUUUUAUAUUUCUUUAACGGUUCGGUUACGGUUAUGGUUCAGAAAAUAAUAACGGCUCGUUACUAUUUUGCGGUUCGGUUCGAAACUCUGUAUGAGACUAAUUCACUGUGGAUUUGUCAGCUAAUCGAAUAGAUAGUGCACUCUCUCUAUUCUAUUGGAAAUAAUUCUGAGACCACCCAUGAAGCUAUAUGUCUGAGCUCAAUGACGCUGGUAGCCAAUCCCUCCUUCUGGUAACCCUCCUCACCCAAAUAAUUAAUUAUAUGUUAAACGAUAGUAUCUUAAAUGGAGGAGUGAUGUUAUCGUGAAAUAUUCGGAAAGUUGAAAAAUGAUUACAUCAGUAUUAGAUGCGGUUAUUGCAGU